rnacentral:rRNA from 1 species
GAUGAACGCUGGCGGCGUGCCUAAUACAUGCAAGUCGAGCGAACGGACGAGAAGCUUGCUUCUCUGAUGUUAGCGGCGGACGGGUGAGUAACACGUGGAUAACCUACCUAUAAGACUGGGAUAACUUCGGGAAACCGGAGCUAAUACCGGAUAAUAUUUUGAACCGCAUGGUUCAAAAGUGAAAGACGGUCUUGCUGUCUCUUAUAGAUGGUUCCGCGCUGCAUUAGCUAGUUGGUAAGGUAACGGCUUACCAAGGCAACGAUGCAUAGCCGACCUGAGAGGGUGAUCGGCCACACUGGAACUGAGACACGGUCCAGACUCCUACGGGAGGCAGCAGUAGGGAAUCUUCCGCAAUGGGCGAAAGCCUGACGGAGCAACGCCGCGUGAGUGAUGAAGGUCUUCGGAUCGUAAAGCUCUGUUAUUAGGGAAGAACAUAUGUGUAAUUAACUGUGCACAUCUUGACGGUACCUAAUCAGAAAGCCACGGCUAACUACGUG